AUUGAACGCUGGCGGCAGGCCUAACACAUGCAAGUCGAGCGGAGCGGCCUUCGGGUGAGUAUUGCCUAGGAAUCUGCCUGGUAGUGGGGGAUACCGUCCGCUAACGGGCGCUAAUACCGCAUCCUAUCAGAUGUGCCUAGGUCUGAUUAGCUAGUUGGUGGGGUAAAGGCCUACCAAGGCGACGAUCCGUAACUGGUCUGAGCGGAUGAUCAGUUACACUGGAACUGAGACACGGUCCAUACUCCUACGGGAGGCAGCAGUGGGGAAUAUUGGGCAAGGGGCGAAAGCCUGAUCCAGCCAUGCCGCGUGUGUGAAGAAGGUCUUCGGAUUGUAAAGCACUUUAAGUUGGGAGGCGUUACCAACAGAAUAAGCACCGGCUAACUUCGUGCCAGCAGCCGCGGUAAUUC
rnacentral:rRNA from 1 species